rnacentral:rRNA from 1 species
ACGGGCAGGACGAACGCUGGCGGCGUGCUUAAUGAAUGCGAGUCGAACGAGAACCAGUGGAGUGCUUGCACAAAGCUGGGGACAGUGGCGAACGGGUGAGUAACACGUGGGUAACCUGCCCUGUAGUCGGGCACAACAGUUGGAAACGACUGCUAAUUCCCGAUAGUCUGCAGCAACGAAGGUUGCUGUAGUAAAGGUUUUUCCCCUACAGGAUGGGCCCGCGGGCCAUUAGCUUGUUGGUGGGGUAACGGCCUACCAAGGCGACGAUGGCUAGCCGGUCUGAGAGGAUGAUCGGCCACACUGGGACUGAGACAUGGUCCAGACUCCUCCGGGAGUUAGCAUCAGGGAAUCUUGCGCAAUGGGCGAAAGCCUGACGCAGCGACGCCGCGUGAGGGAUGAAGGUCUGCGGAUCGUAAACCUCUGUAAGCAGGGACGAAUGCCCGGUCGGUCGGGAGAGACGGUACCUGCAAAGUAAGCCGGCUAACUACGUC